rnacentral:lncRNA from 1 species
CCCUAACCCUAGAAAACACGGAUAAUGCGUCUUAGAGCAGGCCCCAGGGAAGCGCUGUGGGUGCACCCUGGCACUGACUCCCCCGGAAACAUGGGCCUCAUCUCCUCUCCCAUCUCUUCCCGGCCGCCAGAUACCUGCUGCAGCUCCAGACCUCACAUCUGAGUUCCAGGCAGGAAGACGGACGGGGAAAGGACAAGGUGACAAAUGGAUUUCUUCUGGUGAGUGUUCCUGGAUGGGACCUCUCCCCAAGAACCGCUGCUCUCUCACCUUUGCUGAGCAGAAGUGCGUGGUGCCAAGCCCUGCAGGGUUCUUUUGCUCCAUUUGGAUGGAAAUCGUGAAUUGGCAAAGUGCAGCUCCAUGAGCAGGCCUGGUGCUGAGUGCCGGUGGCUCUGUGUGCUACUCCCUUGGCAGCUUUGAGAGGCUUCCGUCAGCUCCUCAGCAGCCAGGGCUGUGGCCCAUUGGCAGCUAUCUGGCGCUGGUCCCGCAGCUUCUGCUGCCUGUGCUGCACUUCCACAGGGCCCCCACCAGUCUCUGCUCCAUGCCCCUGGCCACUGCUGGCUGCUGCACCGCUGGUUGACACCACAGGUUGAAACCAGCCACCAUCACAAUUAACACCACUGGACCCUGCUGGUCAUCACCGCUGGUCAGUGGUCUCUCCCCUGGUCUCAGGAAUGCUUCAAGGCUCACAGCCCCUAGAGUUCAUGGCUCUUUUUAGUGAGAUCUGCUCUGCCCCCUCCCUUCCCACACAAGAAUCUUAAGUAGGCAGAGCGGGUGAGUCAAUCCCAGCACCCAGGAGGAGGCUUCCGGGCUGCCAUAGCACAGCCCUCCCCCCAUCGAAAUGAGAAGACAGGUAAACAAGCCUCAAAACCAGACUUCCAGAUCACCUACACCAACCCCAAAGGGAAAGGAGAUGGAACACUAUGAUACUCAACGACCUGGACUCCCUGAACUGGCAACAAAAGAGGAUCUGGAAAAAAAUGGAAUCUUAAGUAGAUUUACAGGACCUUCCGAGAACCACUGGAGUGAGGUUUUAUUUGGGUGCAUACCCCAGAAGGAGCCCUCCUCAACUAACCCGAGGAGAGUGAGGGGCACUGCUUAUACAGAGCUGCCGGGGGCUGGGAUCAUCUGGGCUUGGUUCAGUGUUUUAGCCUUGACAGGGUGCGGUCAUCAGGGACUGGCCACCAGGCAAAGUCAGCUGGGACUGGUUGAGGUUUCGAGCCUGUGUGGCAGAGCCACGAAGAGAUCUCGGAGUGGAGUUCCCUGGCUGCUGCCUUCAAGGCAGACAUUUCCUGGGGCUGUUGGCAUUGUCUGGAGCUGUCCAUCAGAGCUCAGCCUCUGCUGCUGUCAGCGGGAAAGGGGAAGGGUCAGGCUGAUCUGUCUGUGCACGGAACCUCAGAGACUGCACAUUUUCACCCAGGCAUGUUGCUUCUCUGCAUGGAGCAGAGCUGUGUUCAUCCAGAAAGAAUGUGGCUAUUGGGGGACAACAGCUGUGUCUACCAGUGCACAGCCGUGUGCUCUGCCUUCCAGCACCUGAGGCCUCUAGCCCUGUCACGGGCCCCAGACCCACAAGGCCGGGUUGUUUUGUGCAGGAUGACAGUGCCAGCUACACAAAAAUUCAACAGCCUCUGGGACACAUUGACCAUGGUCUCCCAGUGGCCAGUUCUCAUAGACCUGGAAUCACACCGCUGGCCCGUGGAAACUUACCAGACUCUGUCCCACCCCAGCAAAUCAAUAAAAGCUCCCG